CCUACGGGAGGCAGCAGUGAGGAAUAUUGGUCAAUGGACGAGAGUCUGAACCAGCCAAGUAGCAUGCAGGAUGACUGCCCUAUGGGUUGUAAACUUCUUUUAUCUGGGAAUAAAAUGUUCCACGUGUGGCAUUUUGUAUGUACCAUAUGAAUAAGGAUCGGCUAACUCCGUGCCAGCAGCCGCGGUAGUACGGAGGAUUCGAGCGUUAUCCGGAUUUAUUGGGUUUAAAGGGAGCGUAGGUGGAUUGGUAAGUCAGUUGUGAAAGGUUGCGGCUCAACCGGAAAAUUGCAGUUGAAACUGGCAGUCUUGAGUACAGGAGAGGUGGGCGGAAUGCGCGGUGUAGCGGUGAAAUGCUUAGAGAUCACGAAGAACUCCGAUUGCGAAGGCAGUUCACUGGACUGCAACUGACACUGAGGCUCGAAAGUGUGGGUAUCAAACAGGAUUAGAUACCCGAGUAGUC
rnacentral:rRNA from 1 species